UCUGCCUUAUCGGCAAGCGGUCCCAUUAGAGUGCCCAACUUAAUGCUGGCAACUAAUGGCAAGGGUUGCGCUCGUUGCGGGACUUAACCCAACAUCUCACGACACGAGCUGACGACAGCCAUGCAGCACCUGUCACCGUGUCCCCGAAGGGAACCCCGACUUUCACCGGGUAGCACGGGAUGUCAAGCCCAGGUAAGGUUUUUCGCGUUGCAUCGAAUUAAACCACAUACUCCACCGCUUGUGCGGGCCCCCGUCAAUUUCUUUGAGUUUUAAUCUUGCGACCGUAAUCCCCAGGCGGGGUACUUAAUGCGUUAGCUACGACACCGAGAGGGUAAGAACUCCCGACAUCUAGUACCCAUCGUUUACGGCGUGGACUAC
rnacentral:misc_RNA from 1 species